GACGAACGCUGGCGGCGUGCCUAAUACAUGCAAGUGGGACGCAAGGAAACACACUGUGCUUGCACACCGUGUUUUCUUGAGUCGCGAACGGGUGAGUAACGCGUAGGUAACCUGCCUAUUAGCGGGGGAUAACUAUUGGAAGCGAUAGCUAAUACCGCAUAAUAUUAAUUAUUGCAUGAUAAUUGAUUGAAAGAUGCAAGCGCAUCACUAGUAGAUGGACCUGCGUUGUAUUAGCUAGUUGGUAAGGUAAGAGCUUACCAAGGCGACGAUACAUAGCCGACCUGAGAGGGUGAUCGGCCACACUGGGACUGAGACACGGCCCAGACUCCUACGGGAGGCAGCAGUAGGGAAUCUUCGGCAAUGGACGAAAGUCUGACCGAGCAACGCCGCGUGAGUGAAGAAGGUUUUCGGAUCGUAAAGCUCUGUUGUAAGUCAAGAACGUGUGUGAGAGUGGAAAGUGCACACAGUGACGGUAGCUUACCAGAAAGGGACGGCUAACUACGU
rnacentral:rRNA from 1 species